CCGCUGGCCGCGCUGAAGGCGGUGUUGGGGAGGGUCGUGCGCUUGGCGCUCGGAUCAUCACAGAAUGGCCUGGGUUGAAAAGGUCACACAGUGAUCAUCCAGUUCCAACCCCUGCUAUGUGCAGGGUCGCCAACCAGCAGACCAGGCUGCCCAGAGCCACAUCCAGCCUGGCCCUGAAUGCCUCCAAGGAUGGGGCAUUCACAGCCUCCUUGGGCAACCUGUUCCAUGCGUCACCACCCUCUGAGUGAAAAAUCUCCUAAUAUCUAAGCUAAAUGAGAUGCUGCAGCUCGCACUGUACGAGGGCAGGUCCGGGGAGAGCAUCUCCCCCCUCAGUUCCAACAGCAGCUGCAGUUUCCAUUCCUAGUGUUUUUUUAAACCUGUUGUGAAUCCAGACGGUGGCAGUCAGAAAAACGAGCAUCAUUUGCCAGCAGUGCAUAACUUGGCAAGCCUGAAGCUCGCACCCGCUCAGGACACUUAAGUACCUGGCCAUUAAGCCGCGGGCCACGCAAACGGCACGAGAAAGAUAGAAUCAUAGAAUAGCACAGGUUGGAGAAGACCUUCAAGAUCAUCGAGUCCAACCACGACCUAACCAUACUACCCUAACUCUAACAACCCUCUGCUAAAUCACGUCCCUGAGCACCACAUCCAAAUGGUUUUUAAACACAUCCAGGGAUGGUGACUCAAGCCCCUCCCUGGGCAGCCCAUUGCAGUGCUUAACAACCCCUUGCUGUAAAGAAGUUUUUCCUGAAAGAUGUCGAAAGACAAACACACGGGCUGUGGGUUGAGGGUGAUGACGGCGGAGACCCGCUUCACGUCGCCUCACCGAACCCCGUGGGGAAUGCCCCGAGCAGAAGCGAAGCUGGCUGCCUCGCGGUGCGGCGCUGGGCAGCGUGCCGGCCCCGAGCCGCCGCGGUGCGCCCUCGGCGCGCGUUGCCGCACGUCUCCGCUGGCAGCACUCGCGGCUAUGACAAGGAGCCGCUGUCCCGGCCUCGGGGCUCCCCCCGCCCCCGGCGCUCGCAGGGGGCAGGCGGGCGCGCGGGGCACCGGUCCCAGCGUCCCGCUCGCUGGCAGCCGGGCGGGGAGAGGCACGGCGAAGGAAGGCGGGCGCGGGCAGAGCGGCGUUACCCGCCGGGAGGUGCCGACCCCAGCCUGUCGCGGCCGGGAGGAAAACGCCGCCGCGCUCCGAGCUUCGCCGCCUCGCCGCGAGGAUCCGAGGUACAAUAUGGAGAAAAUACCUACAGGAAUAUUCUGAAGCUCACUCAAAAAAAUGAAACACCGUGUAGCACUUAGUGAAUGGCAGCUGUAUGUGAUUUUCUCCUUUUCUGGUGUACUGAAGAGAUGAUUUUACUGAAGAAGAAUUUGGCCUGCAAUGUGCAUUUCCAGCAUCAGAAUGAUCAAUAUUGUGAGGAUGCUAUAAUAUACGUUUCUUCUCAGAAAUCUGAGAGCAGUUAGUAUAAAUCUGUUCUGUGUGUCUAAUAGCCUUUGCAGUC
rnacentral:lncRNA from 1 species